AGCAAAACCAAAAGUCUGUCCACCCAGCAGUAAAAAUGGGUACCUGCCUUUGCUGGGGAUGUAAAUGUGAGACAUCGUUGUAAAGUGCUUUGAGUAU